AACCUGCCCAAGAGAUCGGGAUAACACCUGGAAACAGAUGCUAAUACCGGAUAACAACAGAUGAUGCCUAUCAACUGUUUAAAAGAUGGUUCUGCCAUCACUCUUAGAUGGACCUGCGGUGCAUUAGCUAGUUGGUAGGGUAACGGCCUACCAAGGCGAUGAUGCAUAGCCGAGUUGAGAGACUGAUCGGCCACAUUGGGACUGAGACACGGCCAAAACUCCUACGGGAGGCAGCAGUU
rnacentral:rRNA from 1 species